AGGUCUUGUUUUGAUGUGUGAUGACAAUCAAGAUGCUGAUGUGGUUCCUGUGUAGAUAUCUGGUGUAUCACCACAGUUAGGGUUUUGUCUUGAGCUGGAUUUCACAAAGUAAAUAGUGGAAGGGUGGUGAGCAAUGGAUUCAUGAGGCAUCGCUGAACCACAUUCCCUUUUUUUCCAGGUAUUAAAAGUGCAUAUAAAGUGUCCUUGAAGUUCCAGAGCCACUAGACUGAAGAUAUGUAUAAAUGAAGCAUAUUCUAGUGAAAAAGCUUUAAAUAUGCUUUGGAGAUUGUGACGAGUUCACUGCGAAAGAAGCUGGACAAUGUUGUAUCACAAUGGCACUAGGCACUAGGCACUUUGGCUGAUUUUUGUACAUAAGUUGGCAGAGCUGCCCAAAGGGGUUCGGAAAUGGUUGAUUACUUCAAAUGAACUUGAUGUUAGUAUGGUAAGUAAAAUUGUCUGUAUUUAGCGGUAACUUUUGAAGAAUACGUGUCUUUCUUAAUUCUAAUACUUGUCUUUCUUAAUUCUAUUACGUGUAUGCAAUUAUCUCGCUGUGCUUCUUGCAUUAAUUGGCAUGUAUGUUAAAUUGAAGGCAUUAUGCAUGACAAUGUACCCAUCAUUAUUUUUUGACUAUUUAUGUUUUUAGCUUGAAAAUGUUGGGCAACAUUUAUGUAUAUAUAUAAAGAUUGAAAAGGUUAUUUUAUUUUUCAAGAGAAG
rnacentral:misc_RNA from 1 species